GGUUGGCAAGUGUCGAUAUUUGCCGUGGUGUGAACUGUCAGGUUCAUUUUUUCACAAAUACGUUGAAAGCAAGUGAAUCCACAAGUUCUGGCAUCGGACAGGGGGAAAAUUGUUCAAUAUUUCACCAGCUUUCGGCUGGGAGCAGGAGACGUGCCUCAACUCACCAGCCCCAGCCAAGGAGCAAGAGUGUUGCAGACCCCCUUGCCAACAGAAUUCAGCUAGGGAGGAGGAGAAUGCCACAAGUGUGCUGGAUGGCCUCAGACACGGCAGCGGGGCCAGGGUGGGCGCUGGAGUACUGCAACUGACAUCAUUCUUUGGCUUCAGCAAGAAAAUGAGAUAGUGCCAUGACGGUCUGUUCCUACCUGUCUAAACAGCGUGCUGUGUUCCCCAAUGAACAAUGCAGUGUGGGCUAAAAUGCUUGAACCUUGUCUUCUGAGAUGUGACACUUAGAGGCCCAAGAAUGCAAAUGCCAGAAUGGGCACAUUUCUUGGAAGUAAAGUUUAUUUUCAAGUGUCCUACUUAUUUCUCAAAGGCACAUGCUAAUGGAAUGUUACAUUUUCAAAAUAAAAACAGCAAAAUAGCUCAAAA